rnacentral:rRNA from 1 species
CGUAGGUGGCAAGCGUUGUCCGGAAUUAUUGGGCGUAAAGCGCGCGCAGGCGGUCUCUUAAGUCUGAUGUGAAAGCCCACGGCUCAACCGUGGAGGGUCAUUGGAAACUGGGAGACUUGAGUGCAGAAGAGGAGAGCGGAAUUCCACGUGUAGCGGUGAAAUGCGUAGAGAUGUGGAGGAACACCAGUGGCGAAGGCGGCUCUCUGGUCUGUAACUGACGCUGAGGCGCGAAAGCGUGGGGAGCGAACAGGAUU